GGCCUCGUGGCCCAAUGGCAAGGCGUCUGACUACGACCAAGAACUCAGUAAUGAGUUCCGAGGCUAAUCAGGAGAUUCUGGGUUCGACCCCCAGCGAGGUCA